GAUUGCCACGCCCCCCUCCCCCUCCCCCAUGGCUGCAUGGAAAUCACUAUGUGACUUGGUAAACGGAAUAUACUGCCAAUAUAUUUUUAAAAAAAUGUAUCACACUAUUAGUACUUUAUGAUAUAAGGGCUUAUAGGCAAAUUGUUGGAACUUUCUGAUAUUGUCAUAAAAUGUGCAAAUACACUGCAGUGAAAUUUAUAUAACUUUUUAUAGUUUAGUUUUUACUUUUAAAAACCCCACAUAAUUAGAAUAUAUUUAUUUAUUAGAGGAUGUCCCAAUAUACUCUGCCCUCUGGAUAAAACCGGCUGGGGAGGUAACAGAGGCUUUGGCCCAAGUUCAAACAACAUUUUGGUGAAUUUAGAAAUCAUUAGAAUUAAAGAAGAAAAAAAACUUUGCCAAAGAUCUUAGCAACAAAAUGAUAUGAUGGUGAGAAAAUAUAUACAACAUAAAAGUGACUACAGUAAAAACAGUGCAAUAUAUAAAAAAAUGAAAUUAUGUAAUUUGGGGGGCAAAGACCAAAGGAAAAGGUGGGGAGCAAUUCAAUUUCCUGCUUGCGCCAGUCGCCAAAAAACUGUGGACAGCUCCUCGCUGCCACCGAGGUGUUACGUUGAAACGAUAGAACUUAUUUUCAUUUCACUGACGAUUUAAGAAAUCGGGCGAAACGACAACGGUGUCGCGCUGGUCCCCGAACGAAAUAAUUGGUGCCUUUCACUGUAUUUCAAAGCCGCCAAACAGCAGCGAUCGCGUGCUUCCGUGAUCAGCAUUUUCUAGCCGUUAGCAGGGAAUAAUUACCCGCGGCUGCUGCUGCUGUGGCAGUCUGUCGCGAUUGCAGCUGCAGUUCCGCAUUAUCCGGGCGUCUGGCGCAGACCCAGCGUCUCCGCCAGCCGCUAAAGACAAUUAGCAUUUCCCAGCGCCGUCUCAUCCUCUGUACGGUUCAUAAGGUGUCGUUAGCCUUUAAAUAAAUUCAGGUAGAAGGACAAGAACAUUCUCAACUAAAAAAGAAAAGAAAAAAGAAACCAGCAAAGGCCAAAAGAUUCUGCCAUCAAUAAUGCUGUAAUUUAAGAUCUUAGAAUUUUUUAUUCCAGAUUUUGCUUUUUCCAAAUUUAGAAUGUCCAAUUACAUUACAUUACAGGCAUUUAGCAGAUGCCCUGAUCCUUUUUUUUUUUUUACGUCGUAUUUAAAUAGAGAAUCCAUGUAUACAUAUAUAUAUAUAUAUAUAUAUAUAUAUAUAUUGAAGUAAGUACCUUGCUCAAGGGUACAACGGCAGUGUCCUACCUGGGAAUCAAACCCACUGCUGUCCCAAUUGUUCAUAGUAUAUUGACAACGCUAUUCUGGUCGUACUAGGCUACUACUACUACUAAUAAUAAAUAAUAACAAUAACAAUCGCUUUUUUUCGUUUUUGAAGAGGACUUUUCACCUCGUUUGUCAGACAUAACGCUCUACUGUGGCGAGUGAUCGCAGUUUUACACUCUCAGACCCAGUGCUGAUAAAUGCGAUGGUGAUGAUGAUGGCACAGAGAGGACACUGUACCAGACCGUCCAUUACAGGAGCAUCAGCAUGCUUCCCAACAUGUCCUCCCUAUGGCGCUCAUUAGAGGCUGUGUGCUUGGCAGUCUUAAUGACUCUAAUCUCUACCUUCAGCGUGAGUCUUUGAUCAAAGAGCAUGUUCUUUCACACA